CCUUACUGCAUCUUUGGAGCUGAGAUCCCACCCAGGACACCAGAAUUACAUUUAGUUGCCAUCUCUCCUCUUCGCUGUGAGUUUCUCAUACAUUUCUUGUUUUUGAUGACCUUGACAGUUUUAAGAGUACUGGUAAAGUAUUUUGUAGGAUGCCCCACUAAUGGAAUUGUCUAAUUUUUUUUUUUUUUCUAAUUGGACUGGGGUUGUGGGUUUGGGGGAGGAAAACCACAGAAGUACAAUGCCAUUUUCAUCUGAUCAUAUGAAGGUUACAUGCCAUCAACAUGAUUUAUCACUGAGCUCAGGUCACGUAUUAACUUGGUGGCCUGUUUUUAAGUUUUCAGUUUCUAAGAUCCAGUAGCAAACCAAAAGUUGUUCCUUAAAAGUAGAGUAGUUACCCACAAUGACAGAGAUUUGCUUCAAAAUCCUAAGGGUUUGUACUGUGAUUCACCUAUGGUUGCUUGCCAAAAUUCUAAACAGUGUUUACUUAUCUUUUGGGAGAAAGGGCCUUGCUCUGUUGCCUAAGCUGGCGUGCAGGGGCAUGAUCAUAGCUCACUCUAACUUGAAUUCCUGGGCUCAAGGGAUCCUGCCUCAGCCUUGCAAGCAGUUAGGACAGACUACAACUACAGGUAUGCACUACCAUACCUGGCUAAUUACAUUUUUUUUUUUUUUUUUUUUUUUGUGGAGGUGGAGCUGGUCUCAAACUCCUGGGCUAAAGUGAUCCUCCCCCCUUGGCCUCCUAAAGUGCUGGGAUUACAGAUGUGAGCCACGGUGCGUGGCCUCUCAAUAACAUUUAAGUCGGCCAUUGACACUUUAAGUACCAUCAGAUCUGCUGGAUCAUAUGGCCCAAAUGGCAGAGCAACUUGCCCAAUAGCCUGGACCUGUUGUAGAGCCUUCUCUUCUCCUACUAGGUAUUGUGGUGUGUGUGUGUGUGUUUUUUUUUGGUUGUAUAAGGGGCCAAAUGCAACAACUUAUUCUUCAGCUUACAAGUGGUAUCUUGACAUGUCCUAUACUGGUCCCCUAGGAAUUUCAUGAGGUGGAGGGCCCCAGAUGUUUUGUGACACUUAUUUCCUGUCUUCAGACAUGUAAAUAUUUUACCAAUAUGUCUAGAGUAAUUGCUACUUCCUGCUCACCAUGAGUAAUCGGCAUAAUAUCAUCAAUGUAAUGGACCAGUACGAAGUUCUUUGGAAGGGGAAGACUAAAUUAUGACAUAGGGCUAAAAGGUUGAUAUAGCCCUGUAGUGGGACAGGAAGUUGUACAGUGGUCUUGCCAGUUGAAGGUAAAUUCCUUCUGAUGGUAUUUUCUAAUAGGUAUAGAGGGAAAAAGCAUGUGCCUGAUUAACAGCUGCAUACCAAGUACUAGGAGAUGUGUUGAUUUGCUCAAGUAAUGAAGCAUCUAAAUGGCAGUGCAACUGGAGUCACCAUGUAAUUAGGUUUAUAAGAAUCUAUUGUCAUUUUCCAAGAUCUAUUUCUGUUUUGCACAUGCCAAAUAGGCGAGGGGAAAAGAAAUGUAGUGGUUAUCACCACCUCUGCAACUUUCAAGUCUUUGACAGUGGCACUUAUCUUUACAAUCUCUCCAAGAAUGUGGCAUUGCUUUUAGUUUGCUAUUCUCAUAGGUAUAAGCAGUUCUAGUGGCUUCCACUUGGCCCUUCCCGUUACAAGUCUUUACAGGUCAGGGAACCAACAUGGGGAUUCUUCCAGCUGUUGAGCCUAUCUCUGUUUGUUUGUUUUUGAGACAGAGUCUUGCUCUGUCGCCCAGGCUGGAGUGCAAUG
rnacentral:lncRNA from 1 species